rnacentral:rRNA from 1 species
AGGGCGCACGGUGGAUGCCUUGGCACUAGAAGCCGAUGAAGGACGUUACUAACGACGAUAUGCUUUGGGGAGCUGUAAGUAAGCUUUGAUCCAGAGAUUUCCGAAUGGGGAAACCCAGCAUGAGUUAUGUCAUGUUAUCGAUAUGUGAAUACAUAGCAUAUCAGAAGGCACACCCGGAGAACUGAAACAUCUUAGUACCCGGAGGAAGAGAAAGAAAAUUCGAUUCCCUUAGUAGCGGCGAGCGAAACGGGAAGAGCCCAAACCAACAAGCUUGCUUGUUGGGGUUGUAGGACACUCUAUACGGAGUUACAAAGGACGACAUUAGACGAAUCAUCUGGAAAGAUGAAUCAAAGAAGGUAAUAAUCCUGUAGUCGAAAAUGUUGUCUCUCUUGAGUGGAUCCUGAGUACGACGGAGCACGUGAAAUUCCGUCGGAAUCUGGGAGGACCAUCUCCUAAGGCUAAAUACUCUCUAGUGACCGAUAGUGAACCAGUACCGUGAGGGAAAGGUGAAAAGCACCCCGGAAGGGGAGUGAAAUAGAACCUGAAACCGUGUGCUUACAAGUAGUCAGAGCCCGUUAAUGGGUGAUGGCGUGCCUUUUGUAGAAUGAACCGGCGAGUUACGAUUUGAUGCAAGGUUAAGCAGUAAAUGUGGAGCCGUAGCGAAAGCGAGUCUGAAUAGGGCGUUUAGUAUUUGGUCGUAGACCCGAAACCAGGUGAUCUACCCUUGGUCAGGUUGAAGUUCAGGUAACACUGAAUGGAGGACCGAACCGACUUACGUUGAAAAGUGAGCGGAUGAACUGAGGGUAGCGGAGAAAUUCCAAUCGAACCUGGAGAUAGCUGGUUCUCUCCGAAAUAGCUUUAGGGCUAGCCUCAAGUGAUGAUUAUUGGAGGUAGAGCACUGUUUGGACGAGGGGCCCCUCUCGGGUUACCGAAUUCAGACAAACUCCGAAUGCCAAUUAAUUUAACUUGGGAGUCAGAACAUGGGUGAUAAGGUCCGUGUUCGAAAGGGAAACAGCCCAGACCACCAGCUAAGGUCCCAAAAUAUAUGUUAAGUGGAAAAGGAUGUGGCGUUGCCCAGACAACUAGGAUGUUGGCUUAGAAGCAGCCAUCAUUUAAAGAGUGCGUAAUAGCUCACUAGUCGAGUGACACUGCGCCGAAAAUGUACCGGGGCUAAACAUAUUACCGAAGCUGUGGAUUGUCCUUUGGACAAUGGUAGGAGAGCGUUCUAAGGGCGUUGAAGCAUGAUCGUAAGGACAUGUGGAGCGCUUAGAAGUGAGAAUGCCGGUGUGAGUAGCGAAAGACGGGUGAGAAUCCCGUCCACCGAUUGACUAAGGUUUCCAGAGGAAGGCUCGUCCGCUCUGGGUUAGUCGGGUCCUAAGCUGAGGCCGACAGGCGUAGGCGAUGGAUAACAGGUUGAUAUUCCUGUACCACCUAUAAUCGUUUUAAUCGAUGGGGGGACGCAGUAGGAUAGGUGAAGCGUGCGAUUGGAUUGCACGUCUAAGCAGUAAGGCUGAGUAUUAGGCAAAUCCGGUACUCGUUAAGGCURAGCUGUGAUGGGGAGAAGACAUUGUGUCUUCGAGUCGUUGAUUUCACACUGCCGAGAAAAGCCUCUAGAURGAAAAUAGGUGCCCGUACCGCAAACCGACACAGGUAGUCAAGAUGAGAAUUCUAAGGUGAGCGAGCGAACUCUCGUUAAGGAACUCGGCAAAAUGACCCCGUAACUUCGGGAGAAGGGGUGCUCUUUAGGGUUAACGCCCAGAAGAGCCGCAGUGAAUAGGCCCAAGCGACUGUUUAUCAAAAACACAGGUCUCUGCUAAACCGUAAGGUGAUGUAUAGGGGCUGACGCCUGCCCGGUGCUGGAAGGUUAAGAGGAGUGGUUAGCUUCUGCGAAGCUACGAAUCGAAGCCCCAGUAAACGGCGGCCGUAACUAUAACGGUCCUAAGGUAGCGAAAUUCCUUGUCGGGUAAGUUCCGACCCGCACGAAAGGCGUAACGAUUUGGGCACUGUCUCAACGAGAGACUCGGUGAAAUC